GCAGAACGCGAAGAACCUUACCUGGGCUAGAAAGCGCAAGAACCUUGGUGAAAACUGAGGGUGCCCUUCGGGGAACUUGUGAUUAGGUGCUGCAUGGCUGUCGUCAGCUCGUGUCGUGAGAUGUUGGGUUAAGUCCCGCAACGAGCGCAACCCUUGCUGUUAGUUGCCAUCAUUAAGUUGGGCACUCUAACAGGACUGCCGACCUUUAAGUCGGAGGAAGGUGGGGAUGACGUCAAGUCCUCAUGGCCCUUACGUCCAGGGCUACACACGUGCUACAAUGAACGGUACAAAGGGUCGCGAAACCGUGAGGUGGAGCCAAUCCCAAAAAGCCGUUCUCAGUACGGAUAAGAGUCUGCAACUCGACUCUUUGAAGGCGGAAUCGCUAGUAAUCCCUGAUCAGCAUAGCAGGGGUGAAUACGUUCCCGGGUCUUGUACACACCG
rnacentral:rRNA from 1 species